rnacentral:rRNA from 1 species
AGAAUCAACGCUGGCGGCGUGCCUAACACAUGCAAGUCGAACGAGAAAGUGGAGCAAUCCAUGAGUAAAGUGGCGCACGGGUGAGUAACACGUGACUAACCUACCCUUGAGUGGGGGAUAACCUAGAGAAAUCUGGGCUAAUACCGCAUAAUACCUUCGGGUCAAAGGAGCAAUUCGCUUAAGGAGGGGGUCGCGGCCGAUUAGUUAGUUGGCGGGGUAAUGGCCCACCAAGACUGUGAUCGGUAUCCGGCCUGAGAGGGCGCACGGACACACUGGAACUGAAACACGGUCCAGACUCCUACGGGAGGCAGCAGUGGGAAUUUUGCGCAAUGGGGGAAACCCUGACGCAGCAACGCCGCGUGGAGGAUGAACGCCCUUGGGGCGUAAACUCCUUUCGAUCGGGAAGAUAAUGACGGUACCGAGAGAAGAAGCCCCGGCUAACGUUCGUGCCAGCAGCCGC